CAGCCGCCACGGUAAUACAGAGGGUGCAAGCGUUAAUCGGAAUUACUGGGCGUAAAGCGCGCGUAGGUGGUUUGUUAAGUUGGAUGUGAAAGCCCCGGGCUCAACCUGGGAACUGCAUCCAAAACUGGCAAGCUAGAGUACGGUAGAGGGUGGUGGAAUUUCCUGUGUAGCGGUGAAAUGCGUAGAUAUAGGAAGGAACACCAGUGGCGAAGGCGACCACCUGGACUGAUACUGACACUGAGGUGCGAAAGCGUGGGGAGCAAACAGGAUUAGAUACCCCUGUAGUCCCUGUCUCUUAUAC
rnacentral:rRNA from 1 species